rnacentral:rRNA from 1 species
ACCUACGGGGGGCAGCAGUGGGGAAUAUUGCACAAUGGGGGAAACCCUGAUGCAGCGACGCCGCGUGAGUGAAGAAGUAUUUCGGUAUGUAAAGCUCUAUCAGCAGGGAAGAAGAAAGACGGUACCUGACUAAGAAGCCCCGGCUAACUACGUGCCAGCAGCCGCGGUAAUACGUAGGGGGCAAGCGUUAUCCGGAUUUACUGGGUGUAAAGGGUGCGUAGGUGGCAGGGCAAGUCAGAUGUGAAAGCCCGGGGCCCAACCCCGGUACUGCAUUUGAAACUGUCCGGCUGGAGUGCAGGAGAGGG